AACAGUUUUGGUCCUAAACUUACUAUUAUUUUUUAUCAAAAUUAUACAUGCAAGUCUCAGCACCCCAGUGCCGACGCCCAACACCACGGAGCAGGUAUCAGGCACACACCAACGUAGCCAAAAACACCUAGCUAUGCCACACCCUCACGGGGCCCAGCAGUAAUAGACAUUAAGCAAUGAGCGCCCAUUAAUCAUCUUAUAUUCAAGCUCGACUUAGUUAUGAUUCAAUUAAGGCCGGUAAAUUUCGUGCCAGCCACCGCGGUUAUACGAAAGACCCAAAACAAUAGUAUACGGCGUAAAACGUGACUAGAGCUUAAAGUAUAAAAUGAGAUAUAAACCCCGGCUAAGUUAUAAAACACAAAAAGCACGCUGGAUAACCUACCAAAUCUCAGUCAAUACCACCCCUUGACCUCACGAAAACCAAGAAACAAACUAGGAUUAGAUACCCUACUAUGCUUGGCCGUAAACCCAGACAUUACACACUACACAAUGUCCGCCAGAGUACUACAAGUGAAAAACUAGAAACUCAAAGGACUUGACGGUGCCCCACAUCAACCUAGAGGAGCCUGUCCUAUAAUCGAUACCCCACGAAAAACCUCACCCCUUCUGGCAAAACAGCCUAUAUACCGCCGUCGCCAGCCUACCUUAUGAAAGACACCAAAUAGGCAAAAUGUAAAACCCACAAAACGUCAGGUCAAGGUGUAGCAUAUGAAGAGGAAAGAGAUGGGCUACAUUUUCUAAAAAGAAAACACUAACAACAUCCUGAAACAAGCGUAAAACGGUGGAUUUAGCAGUAAGACGAGUUAGACAGCUCAACUGAAAACAUGCUCUGGGACGCGUACACACCGCCCGUCACCCUCAUCAACCAAAACAACUAAACAAUUUAUAAAGCCCCCCAUCUAAUACAGAUGAGGCAAGUCGUAACAUGGUAAGUGUACUGGAAAGUGCACUUGGACUACA
rnacentral:ncRNA from 1 species